GAUGAACGCUGGCGGCGUGCUUAACACAUGCAAGUCGAACGAGAAAUGGAGACGGAAACCUUCGGGCGGAAGGCUUCAUUUCGAGUGGCGGACGGGUGAGUAACGCGUGGGUAACCUGCCUCAUGCAGGGGGAUAACAGUUGGAAACGACUGCUAAUACCGCAUAAGACCACAGCACCGCAUGGUGCGGGGGUAAAAACUCCGGUGGUAUGAGAUGGACCCGCGUUCGAUUAGCCAGUUGGCGUGGUAACGGCCCACCAAAGCGACGAUCGAUAGCCGAUCUGAGAGGAUGACCGGCCACAUUGGGACUGAGACACGGCCCAAACUCCUACGGGAGGCAGCAGUGGGGAAUAUUGCACAAUGGGGGAAACCCUGAUGCAGCGACGCCGCGUGAGUGAAGAAGUACUUCGGUAUGUAAAGCUCUAUCAGCAGGGAAGAAAAUGACGGUACCUGAGUAAGAAGCCCCGGCUAACUACGUG
rnacentral:rRNA from 1 species